CCUACGGGUGGCAGCAGUGAGGAAUAUUGCGCAAUGGGCGAAAGCCUGACGCAGCGACGCCGCGUGAGGGAUGAAGGUCUUCGGAUCGUAAACCUCUGUCAGCAGGGAAGAACGGUCACUGUGCUAAUCAGCAGUGAAUUGACGGUACCUGCAAAGGAAGCACCGGCUAACUCCGUGCCAGCAGCCGCGGUAAUACGGAGGGUGCGAGCGUUAAUCGGAAUUACUGGGCGUAAAGCGCUCGUAGGCGGUAUGUCAAGUCAAGGGUGAAAUCCCCGCGCUCAACGUGGGAACUGCCUUUGAAACUGGCAAACUGGAGUGUGUGAGAGGAUAGUGGAAUUCCAGGUGUAGGAGUGAAAUCCGUAGAUAUCUGGAGGAACAUCAGUGGCGAAGGCGACUAUCUGGAACAUAUCUGACGCUGAGGAGCGAAAGCGUGGGUAGCAAACAGGAUUAGAUACCCCAGUAGUC
rnacentral:rRNA from 1 species